GCCGGGUGUGGUGGUGCGUGCCUGUAGUCCCAGCUACUUGGGAGGCUGAGGUGGGAGGAUCUCUCGAGCCCAGGAGUUCUGGGCUGUAGUGCGCUAUGCCGAUCGGGUGUCCACACUAAGUUUGGCAUCAAUAUGGUGACCUCCCGGGAGCGGGGGACCACCAGGUUGCCUAAGGAGGGCUGAACCGGCCCAGGUCGGAAACAGAGCAGGUCAAAACUCCCGUGCUGAUCAGUAGUGGGAUCGUGCCUGUGAAUAGCCACUGCACUCCAGCCUGGGCAACAUAGCAAGACCCCGUCUCA
rnacentral:SRP_RNA from 1 species